CACAAGGCCCUUUUCAGGGCCACCUCAACCUGAUAUCUGGCUGCUG
rfam:Operophtera brumata OBRT01_Sc00175, whole genome shotgun sequence.